CCUACGGGCGGCAGCAGUGAGGAAUAUUGGUCAAUGGGCGCGAGCCUGAACCAGCCACGUCGCGUGAGGGAUGACGGUCCUACGGAUGUUAAACCUCUUUUGCCGGGGAGCAAGCGUGCGUUCGUGAACGCGCGUCGAGAGUACCCUGAGCAACAGCAGCGGCUAACUCCGUUCCAGCAGCCGCGGUAAUACGGAGGAUGCGAGCGUUAGCCGGAUUUAUUGGGUUAAAAGGGUGCGUAGGCGGGAUGCCAAGUCAGCGGGAAAAAUGCGGUGGUCAACCCCCGCCAGCCGUUGAAACUGGAGGUCUGGAGUGGGCGAGAAGUAUGGGGAAUGCGUGGUGUAGCGGUGAAAUGCAUAGAUAUGACGCAGAACUCCGAUUGCGAAGGCAGCAUACCGGCGCCCUACUGACGCUGAGGCACGAAAGCGUGGGUAUCGAACAGGAUUAGAUACCCUUGUAGUC
rnacentral:rRNA from 1 species